rnacentral:rRNA from 2 species
UUUCCAGAGAUGGAUUUGUGCCUUCGGGAACUGUGAGACAGGUGCUGCAUGGCUGUCGUCAGCUCGUGUUGUGAAAUGUUGGGUUAAGUCCCGCAACGAGCGCAACCCUUAUCCUUUGUUGCCAGCGAUUAGGUCGGGAACUCAAAGGAGACUGCCAGUGAUAAACUGGAGGAAGGUGGGGAUGACGUCAAGUCAUCAUGGCCCUUACGACCAGGGCUACACACGUGCUACAAUGGCGCAUACAAAGAGAAGCGACCUCGC